rnacentral:rRNA from 1 species
CAGGCCUAACACAUGCAAGUCGAGCGCGAAAGUGCCUUCGGGUGCGAGUAGAGCGGCGGACGGGUGCGUAACGCGUAGGAAUCUGCCUGGUAGUGGGGGAUAACUCGGGGAAACUCGAGCUAAUACCGCAUACGCCCCAUGGGGGAAAGCGGGGGACUUCGGGCCUCGCGCUAUCAGAUGAGCCUGCGUCGGAUUAGCUAGUUGGUAGGGUAAUGGCCUACCAAGGCGACGAUCCGUAGCUGGUCUGAGAGGAUGAUCAGCCACACUGGGACUGAGACACGGCCCAGACUCUACGGGAGGCAGCAGUGGGGAAUAUUGGACAAUGGGGGCAACCCUGAUCCAGCCAUACCGCGUGUGUGAAGAAGGCUUCGGGUUGUAAAGCACUUUCAGUGGGGAGGAAAAGUUGCCGGCGAAUACCCGGCGACCGUGACGCUACCUGCAGAAGAAGCACCGGCAAACUCCGUGCCAGCAGCCGCGGUAAU